CGAUGGAUACACCGCCAAGGCGAAGCCGACAGCUGGAAGGCCUAGGGCCUGAAUCCCUCCAGAGCCUCACCUCAGUUUCACGUAGGAGAUGGGUCCUUGUGGAGUUCGAGUUGGACACAGAAGAAACGAGGGAGCCCGGGUCUCCUCCGAGUGUGCAACAAGCUGGCCUGGGGCCCCCCGAAAGGACGCUGGAGAGAAGCCCAGGAUCACCCAGUCUUUGCAGCAGGGUGCAGGCUUGGAGUCCCCCCAAGGGCGGCUAGAAUCAGGUCCAGGGUCCCCCCAGUGUCAGCAAGGCCUACACCUGGAGUCGCCUCAAAGACAGCUGGAGUCCAGUCCUCAAUCCCCACGAUGUCAGCCGAAGCCAAGUGAGGAGGCACCCAAGUGUGCUCAGGGCCAGGGAGUACCUGGCCUCGGAGUUGGCCCAAAGUAAGGAGGAGCUGAUCCCAGGGGGCCCCCCAGCAUCAGCUACUGCCGGGCCCAGGAUCACCAGAGCCUUAACCCCAGUCAGGAAGCUCCGGGUCCGGAGCCCUCUCAGCCACUACUGCAGCUAACACUCGAGGCACCUGGCUUCCCCCAGGGUCAGCACGAGCAGAGCAAACCACCUCCAGCUGGGGAGAUGGUGACAGACGGCUUCGGGGCAAAGAAGCCAAAGGGUUCUUCAUCCCAGGCCCCAGCGUCCAAGAAGCUGAAGGAGGAGGAGCUUCCUGUAAUCCCGAAGGGGAAGCCCAAGUCGGGGCAAGUGUGGAAGGACCGCUCCAAGAAAAGAUUCUCUCAGAUGCUUUAGGACAAGCCCCUGCGUAUAUCGUGGCAGCGGAAGAUGAAGCAGGAGAGGAAGCUGGCCAAGGACUUUGCCCGUCACCUGGAGGAGGAGUAGGAGAGGCGCCGCCAGGAGAAGAAACAGCGUCGGGCGGAGAACCUGAAAUGCCGCCUGGAGAACGAGCGGAAGGUGGAGAUCGUCCAAGUGAUCCGAAACCCUGCCAAGCUCAAGCGGGCAAAGCAGCAGCAGCUGCGCUCCAUUGAGAAGCGGGACACCCUAGCCCUGCUGCAGAAGCAGCCGCCCUAGCGGCCGGCAGCCAAGAUCUGA
rnacentral:lncRNA from 1 species